UACGUAGGGUGCAAGCGUUGUCCGGAAUUAUUGGGCGUAAAGAGCUCGUAGGCGGUCUGUCGCGUCGGCUGUGAAAACCCGAGGCUCAACCUCGGGCCUGCAGUCGAUACGGGCAAACUAGAGUACUGCAGGGGAGACUGGAAUUCCUGGUGUAGCGGUGAAAUGCGCAGAUAUCAGGAGGAACACCGGUGGCGAAGGCGGGUCUCUGGGACGGUACUGGACGCU
rnacentral:rRNA from 1 species